rnacentral:rRNA from 1 species
AGAGUUUGAUCCUGGCUCAGGAUGAACGCUAGCGGCAGGCUUAACACAUGCAAGUCGAGGGGCAGACGGGGUGUAGCAAUACACUGCCGGCGACCGGCGUCACGGGUGCGUAACGCGUAUGCAACCUACCCAUAACAGGGGCAUAACACUGAGAAAUUGGUACUAAGUUCCCCAUAACAUUCGAAGAGGCAUCUCUUUGGGUUGAAAACUCCGGUGGUUAUGGAUGGGCAUGCGUUGUAUUAG